GGUUGAGGUAAUAGCAUUUAGUGAUGAAGAAGGAGUAAGGUUUCAGUCUACAUUCAUAGGAAGUGCUUCUGUAGCUGGAAUUUUACCAGUUUCAGCACUGCAAAUGACUGAUAAAAGUGGUAUUCACAUUGAAGAAGGGCCUGUACUGGAAUGGGUUGGUUUUCCUCUAGGAGUUGUUAAAUGCAUAGCUGGACAGACAAGACUAAAGGUUACGAUGUGAGGUUCCCAGGGGCAUGCUGGAACAGUUCCAAUGUCCAUGCGUCGUGACCCUAUGGCUACUGCUGUGGAAUCCAUUGUAUUGUUAGAAAGCCUAUGUAACAUUCGCCGUAGAUUUACGUGCAAUUGAUGACAUGGGACGUGAAGCUGUUGUGUAUGAAUUAU
rnacentral:lncRNA from 1 species